rnacentral:rRNA from 1 species
GACGAACGCUGGCGGCGUGCUUAACACAUGCAAGUCGAACGAAAAGACGGAAAGAGCUUGCUCUUUUCAGAAUUGAGUGGCAAACGGGUGAGUAACACGUAAACAACCUGCCUUCAGGAUGGGGACAACAGACGGAAACGACUGCUAAUACCGAAUAAGUUCCAAGAGCCGCAUGGCCCAUGGAAGAGAAGGUGGCCUCUACCUGUAAGCUAUCGCCUGAAGAGGGGUUUGCGUCUGAUUAGCUGGUUGGAGGGGUAACGGCCCACCAAGGCGACGAUCAGUAGCCGGUCUGAGAGGAUGAACGGCCACACUGGAACUGAGACACGGUCCAGACUCCUACGGGAGGCAGCAGUGGGGAAUCUUCCGCAAUGGGCGAAAGCCUGACGGAGCAACGCCGCGUGAGUGAUGACGGCCUUCGGGUUGUAAAACUCUGUGAUCCGGGACGAAAAGGCAGAGUGCGAAGAACAAACUGCAUUGACGGUCCGGAAAAGCAAGCC